rnacentral:rRNA from 1 species
GGGGUUAGAAUUAAUGAUUUUUAUUUAAUAAAAAAAAUUUUAAUAUUAAAAAUAUAAUAAUGGGGGUUAAAGUAUUUUUAAUAGAAAAAAUUUAAUUUUUUAUAGUUAAUUAGUAUUGUGGGGGAAUUUUGAAAUAUUUGAAAAUAAAUUCUUUUAAAAGUAAAUUUAGUUUGUUGUAUCUUGUGUAUCAGAGUUUAUUAAUAAUUUUUUAUUGUUUUUAAAUUUCUCGAAUUUAAAAGAGUUAAUUAAUUAAAAAAUUUAUUGUUUCAUAAAUAUUUUAAAUAAUUAAUUGGAAAUGAAAUGUUAUUCGUUUUUAAAUAUAUCUAGUUUUUUAAGAAAAAAAUUUAAUUUUUAAUUAAAUUUUAAAAUUAAUUUAAUUAAUUAAAUUAAUUUUAAAAUUUAAUUUAAUAUUUUGGGGGAUAAGCUUUAAAUUAAAUUUUUAUAAUUAAUGAUAAUUAAUUUGAAAAUUUUAUAAUUUAUAUUGUUAAUAAAUUUUAUUUUAUUAUAAAUAAUUUCAUUUAAUUGAAAAUUUAAUUUUAAUUUAAUAUUUUAUUGAAAAAUAUAUUUUAAUUAAAUUAAAUUUAAUUAUAAUGAUAAAAUUAGUAUAUAAAAUUAAUUAUAUUUGGUAAUUUUUUAUUUUUAAUAAUUAUUUAAAAGGAAUUCGACAAAUAUGUAUGUUCACCUGUUUAUCAAAAACAUGUCUUUUUGAUUAAUAAUUUAAAGUCUAAUCUGCCCACUGAUUUGAUUAAAUUGAAGGGCUGCAGUAUAUUGACUGUACAAAGGUAGCAUAAUCAAUAGUCUCUUAAUUGGUGACUUGUAUGAAAGAUUGGAUGAGAUGUAAGUUGUCUCUUAGGUAUUUAAUAGAAAUUAAUUUUUUAAUUAAAAAGUUAAAAUAUUUUAAAAAGACGAGAAGACCCUAUAGAGUUUGAUAUUUGUUUAAUUUUGAUUUAUAAAUUAAUAGUUAUAUUUAAAUUUGAGUGAAUAUUUUAUUGGGGUGAUAAAAAAAUUUAUAUAACUUUUUUUUAAUAAGACCAUGAAUAUAUGAUUGAUUGAUCCAAUAAUAUUGAUUAUAAGAAUAAAUUACCUUAGGGAUAACAGCGUAAUUUUUUUUUUUAGUGCUUAUAAGAAAAAGAGUUUGCGACCUCGAUGUUGGAUUAAGAUAAAAUUUAAAUGCAAAAGUUUAAAAUUUUGAUCUGUUCGAUCAUUAAAAUCUUACAUGAUCUGAGUUCAAACCGGUGUGAGCCAGGUUGGUUUCUAUCUUUUAAAAUUUUUAAUGUUUUAGUACGAAAGGAUUGAAUAUUGUAAUUAAAUUAAUUAUUAUGAUUUUUAUUAAUUGUGAUUUAAUAUGUAUAUAUGGUAUGUAUAUAUUUAUGUUUGUUUGUGUUGAAUUAAUUAAAUUUAUUA